CGGGGUGUAGCGCAGCUGGUAGCGCACCUGUUUUGGGAACAGGGGGUCGGAGGUUCGAGCCCUCUCACCCCGA
rnacentral:tRNA from 4 species